UUUGUGUUUUUUCACGGUAUUUAAUAAAUGGGAGGAGAAAGUAAAUGAAGUACAUAAAAAACGUGAAAAGUACAAUUAUAGACACAAGUUAGGGAAGAAAAAGUGAAUGAAGUACAUAAAAUAGGUGAAAACUGAAAACUGCAAUUAUAGAUAAAAGUUAGAGAGAGUAAGUGGGAAAAAGUACAAAGCAUGUAAAAAAUUAAAGGGCAAUUUAGGAAGUACAAUGAAUAAAGUUAAAAAAAUGGGACAGAGAGAAUAGUAUUUUUUUAAAAAUUUAAUUUAAUUAAUAUUUUUCCUUGGAUUAUGAAAUACAAAUUCAAAUGUUUCAACGAGGGACAGGAGUGGUUGUGUAUAAUUUUCCAAUAUAAAAACCAAAAGAAAAAUGAAAAAAAAAAAAAAAAAGUUGACAGUUACCUAUUUCUGUUAUUUUCGCACCAGAAAUUGCAAUUGCAAUUGCAUCAUUGCAUGUAUUCACAAUCAAACGCCACUUUCAUCUGCACAGUUACUCAAUUUCACUGCAGCGUCCUCGAUCAUGUUGCGGUCAUUUUGGCGCCCCAUUGAUCGCUUCUCUCUCCAACACUUCCGGUAUAUCAUCAAUGAAUUGCAGGGAAUUGAAGUCGUUCAUACAUUUAAUAGGGAAACAGUUGUGGACAUUUUCAAACUAUUGUAGAAAAAUUUACGUAUGGUGAUAGGCAUGACCCAUCAAUCUUCGAAUGUUUCAUGGAACAUCAAGUGUUAGCUGAGUUCAUCCGCAUGCUCAAGAUUAGUAGGGAUACCAAUGACAGGCUUGAGGCAAAGGUGCUUCAGUACCUGAGCAUAAUGAUACAAAAUCUACACAGUGAACAUGCAUUUGGGAUGUGAGUGGGAAGCAGAAGUGCAGAACAAAGACACCAUCUGUCUUCUCUAAAAGUCCAAGAGGGUGCUUUUACAUAAUUCCUCUAUAUACUUAAGCCCUUAAAUUUGCACACCAUGGGGAGAAGAUCAUUUAGACAGCCAUACAUUCUCUUACUCUAAGCAUAUAAUGGUACAAUUUUUUUUCCCUUUUUCCGUUCUCCUCUCUUUCCUGGGGAAUGAAGUUCAUAUAAAUGAAGAUUUUAAUAUUUUGCAACAGUCCAUGCAGUUAGUGAUGAUAUGAUCUAUCAUUUCUGACAACACCUCCAGUAUCGAGUACUUCUCUGACUUGGUUCUCAAAUUGGGGUAUAUUCUUUUUCUGUGUAUAUUAGAUUUAUAAUCAUUCACAGGCUGUUGGAUGUAAUUUUAUUUUAUUUUAUGUGGGAUAAUAGGGGAUGUUAGUUUGUUCGGACACAGGAACAAUUACUUUUCUGGUAAGAGGACAGACUUGAUAUCUAUUAUAGUCUUUAUAGAUAAGUUCUUGGACGACCUUUACUACAUUAAGGACAUACUUUGUCUUGUUAAAUCUCAUUUGAACACUAUGGUCAUUCAUAAGCUCCUAGGUUUGCUGGUGGUGCCCAUAAUGAUCCUGUAUCCCGUUGCAGUUGGAAAAAAAUAAUGUAAGAGAACUUCUUACAUAUUCAGAUAUUCAGGAUUAUGUCAUAGCUAUGAAGAACUUUGAUGUUGUUCAUGUGGAUUGUGGAACACUGGAAUAUUUUACAAUAGACGGAUCUGUAAUCUGUAUUAAAUCACUUUUCAUGCUUUAUGUACUCCGUAGUAAUUUUUGAAAAGAAAGUGCUGUUGUCUAAUGUCAAGACAAAUCCAUGAGGCAAAAGGAUAAGGCUGCAUAUGAUAUUAACUAGCUUACAUGUUUUGAUGUAUGUAACAUGUCAUAUUGGCAAUUGCAUUUUCACUGUGAUGUGGGAUUCCUAAAUAUAUCUUUUGUCUGAUCACAGGGUGUCAAUAUUUCUUCUGUCACUUAUCGGUAUCUACUUUCUUGUCUACUUCAAGUGGUUGUAAAGAAGGAUAUGUUGGAUUCUGUGGCCAGUCUGAAUCUGAAUCCUCAUGUGGCAUUGGGUCUUAUGAUUGGUACUGAGGACUAUGCUGUUGAUAGCACUCAAGUUAAGCCAUCUUCUGAUCAGCUUAACAGUAUUAAGAAAUUUUUAAACUCCAGUCUCGAAUCUCAGUAUGAUGACGAAGAAUUUGGGGUUAUCUUGGAGCCCAAGUUAUCAGCUCACUGUUUAACAAGUUUUCAGUGGGACAGUGAGCACGAGAGGAAGAUAGCAUAACAUGACUAGUUUAUUUCAGCAUUAUAUACUUUUUAAAUGUACAGUUUUCAAAAGGGCAGAGGUAUAGGACAGGGAGAUUGUGCAUGCUGCUCAGCGUUGCCAGUUUAGCUUCUUGUCCUCAGGCUGCUGUUGCUUGCAGGGCCGUGUAUUACAUAGUGAAUGUGUUUGGUAGUUUAUGCCUUGAUUGAUAGUGGAUUAUGCAUUCUGUCAGUAUAGGAGUAAGUACUUUUGAUUUUAAACUAUAGUUUGGUAAACCUUCAUUAUCUUUCUCUUGUUGGGUUUUUUUUGCAUUUCGAAGUGGAAUGCUCCUCUCUGGAGGUUGUGACUUGUGAGACGGGUUUUCAUCAUAAUUAUAGUUGUUAUCACUGUUUUGGACCUUUUAGUCGGCAAUUGCAGAUUUGCAGGAGUGUAUUUUGCUGUGGUGUCUUGUAAUUGGUCUCGGUUGAUACAAGAUAGAUUUAGUCAUUAUUUUGUCUGUAUAUGUGUUGUAGGUUAUACUGGCCAAUACAUAAUGGUCAUGUAUGGAUUGUAAAAGUUUUGGCUUUUCACUGAAGCCAUAAUUUCAUACCAGUUGAUAUAUUGGAAGGUUGAGGGGGAUUUCGCUUUUAGAACUGGAAAAUAACAAUAGUGGUGAAGGCAUUAAUGGUUUGGAACUGGUGGUUGAUUAAGAGGUUGCUGCUGAGGGUUUUGGUGCUGCAUUGCAUAUUUGCAUUCUUGCUGCUCUGCUGUCCGUUGUUUUUUUUUUCCAAAAUUUAAAGCAUUUUAAAAUGAUACGUCUACGAUGGAAAUUCGAAAGCAUUAUAGGAGGUGAGUGAUGAAUAAGUCACCAUUCCCUGAAAAAAAAAAGAAAAAAAAAAA